GAUGAACGCUGGCGGCGUGCCUAAUACAUGCAAGUCGAGCGAACAGACGAGGAGCUUGCUCCUCUGACGUUAGCGGCGGACGGGUGAGUAACACGUGGAUAACCUACCUAUAAGACUGGGAUAACUUCGGGAAACCGGAGCUAAUACCGGAUAAUAUAUUGAACCGCAUGGUUCAAUAGUGAAAGACGGUUUUGCUGUCACUUAUAGAUGUAUCCGCGCCGCAUUAGCUAGUUGGUAAGGUAACGGCUUACCAAGGCAACGAUGCGUAGCCGACCUGAGAGGGUGAUCGGCCAAACUGGAACUGAGUCACGGUCCAGACUCCUACAGGAGGCAGCAGUAUGGAAUCUUCCGAAAUGGGCGAAAGCCUGACGGAGCAACGCCGCGUGAGUGAUGAAGGUCUUCGGAUCGUAAAACUCUGUUAUUGGGGAAGAACAAAUGUGUAAGUAACUAUGCACGUCUUGACGGUACCUAAUCAGAAAGCCACGGCUAACUACGUG
rnacentral:rRNA from 1 species